UAUCGAGACGGGCAAACUUACUGAAAAGUAAGGGCGCAAAGACAUGGGUCGUCGAUCUUUUUAGAUACCGAUCGCCAGUCUGCAAAA
rnacentral:ncRNA from 2 species